rnacentral:rRNA from 1 species
CCUACGGGGGGCUGCAGUGGGGAAUAUUGGACAAUGGGGGGAACCCUGAUCCAGCCAUGCCGCGUGUGUGAAGAAGGCCCUCGGGUUGUAAAGCACUUUCAGUGAGGAAGAACGCCUGGUGGUUAAUACCCAUCAGGAAAGACAUCACUCACAGAAGAAGCACCGGCUAACUCCGUGCCAGCAGCCGCGGUAAUACGGAGGGUGCGAGCGUUAAUCGGAAUUACUGGGCGUAAAGCGCGCGUAGGUGGCUUGAUAAGCCGGUUGUGAAAGCCCCGGGCUCAACCUGGGAACGGCAUCCGGAACUGUCAAGCUAGAGUGCAGGAGAGGAAGGUAGAAUUCCCGGUGUAGCGGUGAAAUGCGUAGAGAUCGGGAGGAAUACCAGUGGCGAAGGCGGCCUUCUGGCCUGACACUGACACUGAGGUGCGAAAGCGUGGGUAGCAAACAGGAUUAGAUACCCCUGUAGUC